UACAGAGGGGGCAAGCGUUGUUCGGAAUUACUGGGCGUAAAGGGCGCGUAGGCGGCCUGUUAAGUCGAACGUGAAAUCCCCGGGCUCAACCCGGGAACUGCGUCCGAUACUGGCAGGCUUGAAUUCGGGAGAGGGAUGUGGAAUUCCAGGUGUAGCGGUGAAAUGCGUAGAUAUCAGUCGGAACACCAGUGGCGAAGGCGGCUUCUUGGGCCAUUACUGACGCUGAGGCGCGAAAGCCAGGGGAGCGAACGGG
rnacentral:rRNA from 1 species